rnacentral:sRNA from 1 species
AAAUUUUGUUUUAAAAUAUUGUUAACAAAUACGUUUAUGCUAAUUUUAAGGGAUUAAUGUGAAGUUUGUUUGGAUUAAAUUUGAUUGAUAAUGUGAUUGACAAUUUAAAUUAAGAAUUUAAAGUAAAAUUAAUUAUAUUGGAAAACAAUUAAUGCUAAUGGCAUUGGGUUGUAAAUAAGUCCAACUCUAAGAUUUAUUUGUUAAAAUGGCUGCAAAAAUGUAUAUAUAGAUGUUAUAUUAUAUCACCUUACUUUUGCUGAAUAUCUUAAUUCUACAUUCUUUAUAUUCCACA